GUCUGAAUAGCAAAUAAUAGUAUACUGAGAUGGGUUAAAAAUUCCGAUGCCUGCAUCGUAACACUUAGGAGGAAUAAUAAAUUCGUCUUGACUAUUCGUGCGUAAAGUUAAUCCAGCAGGUUUCAAUCCAUAUUUAUGACACAGAUAAAAUGAUGAUUUAACUUUCAGUAUUUCAAUUUUAAAAUUAUUUUUAAAAGUACAAUGUAUUUACUAACCGUCUAUCAGGAAAUUUGCAAUACUUCCAAUCAGUUUCAAGAAAAUUUAAUCCAUCGUUAAAAACGUAUUGCUUGUCUCUACAUUCACCUUGUAUCCAAAUUCCAUCCAUUCUUUGCCCACGAGGCCAAUAUAGACUACCAUAGCCAUGAAACAUAUUAUCGCGAAAUUCUCCUUCAAAGAUAGCAUCUAUUACAGUAAUAAUUUCAUUAUUAUUAUUACAAUAAAUAGAUUCGGGUCAUUUAACGAAACGAAGAAGAUCAGAAGAAAGAGAUCAAAAGAUUUAGCGAUAGAAAAAAAUAAAUGGAAGAAAAAAAGUGCGUGUGUGCGUAUGCAUAUUUAUAAAAUUUAUAAUAUAGUGAAUGCAUGUAAGACUAAGAUAUUUGAGCUAUAGGUAAAUGAAAAACAUAUACGAACUCUAGAACAUGAAGCGACGAAAAUGGUCGCAUAACGGUACGCGUCGACUUACGCGCGAGAAAUGCUCAAUGUUGUACUCAAAAACCAGUAUAUAUGCUAUACAUAUGUACAUAUCUUAGACACAAUUAUUGGCGUUAACGUGUACAUUUUACAAAAUGUAAUUUCAAGUUUUAAAAGAUUUAACAUUCAUUGUAUUUCAAUUAUGAAUAUUUUUCUAUCAUAUUUUUUUUAUUUACAAUUCACUUAUCUCUUGUUUCUUAUUAUAAUUAUUUUGUAUUUUUAUAUUGCUUUUUUCUCCUCCUUUUUUCAAACAAUUCAAGCAAGGUGUAAAGAAAUACGCAUUCGAGAUUAUUCUGUAACAUUUCUGUAACAUCUUGAUAAAGAGUAAUAUAUACUAACUGUGCGGCAUGAUGAAUUUACCGACUCCUUCCAUGCCAAAUGUGGUCCAAGUACCCUUAUAUUCGCUUCCAUCGAUAAAACACGAUUCUUCUAAGUUGUUGAAUCUUGCGUACAUGUUGUAUCUUUAAGUUUAACAUUUUUAUUGAUCAUAUGAUCAUUCCAAAUUAUUUAUCAAAUAAUAUAAUAUUAAUAUAAAUAGAAAUACUAAAAAAAAAAAAA